rnacentral:rRNA from 1 species
CUUUAUUGGAGAGUUUGAUCCUGGCUCAGGAUGAACGCUGGCGGCGUGCCUAAUACAUGCAAGUCGAGCGAAUGGAUUGAGAGCUUGCUCUCAAGAAGUUAGCGGCGGACGGGUGAGUAACACGUGGGUAACCUGCCCAUAAGACUGGGAUAACUCCGGGAAACCGGGGCUAAUACCGGAUAAUAUUUUGAACUGCAUGGUUCGAAAUUGAAAGGCGGCUUCGGCUGUCACUUAUGGAUGGAC